rnacentral:rRNA from 1 species
CAGUACCGCGGUAAUACGAAGGGGGCUAGCGUUGUUCGGAUUUACUGGGCGUAAAGGGUGCGUAGGCGGAUUGUUAAGUCAGGGGUGAAAUCCCGAGGCUCAACCUCGGAACUGCCUUUGAUACUGGCGAUCUUGAGUCCGGGAGAGGUGAGUGGAACUGCGAGUGUAGAGGUGAAAUUCGUAGAUAUUCGCAAGAACACCAGUGGCGAAGGCGGCUCACUGGCCCGGAACUGACGCUGAGGCACGACAGCGUGGGGAGCAAACAGGAUUAGAUACCCCAGUAGUCCCUGUCUCUUAUACA